AAUUGAUCUGAAUGGAGUAAAAUACACUUGAAACUGGAGGUAACAAGGAAGUACAGCCUACCAGUGGUGCUUACAUGUAAAGGUAUUGUUGAAGAAACAUGAGCUUGAUCAGACAUAUCCUGCUCCUUGUCGUGAUAUACUUGUAUAUGCCACAGAGCAAUGGGCAAUGCGUCGACCCUUGCGCCGAGAAGAAUGAGGUCACUCUGACCCAGCCCUGCCAGUGUGUAACCUGGUAUCUCACGUGCGAUAGUUGCUGCGCCAAAGUGUUUGGUCAAGGGAAAUACUUCUACCAGUGGAGCCAAAACAAAUUCUGCACUUGCUGUCGAAAGGACGACGUUGGAAAGGAAAAGACUGCGAACGAUGCAUUGGGCGAAUCGAAGAAAAGUUUCAAGCUUGUUAAUUGAAUGUUAUGUAUUUUGUGGAUCGAACUGAGGAACUGUGAUUACUUCUCCCACUUCCCGACGAAAUCUUGUAUCGUGAUUCAAACAAAUUACGGGUGACAGACAAAAAUGGGAGUUAUCAAUUGGUUGUGCUAUAUUGAGAACAUAAUUUCCUGAGAUGAUGUUUUAAAAAUUCAUUUGGUGAAGGGAAUUUGGAACCGAGUGAGCUGGUAGACGUAAUGGAUUUGUGCAUAUUUUUAAUGGUUGAUCAAUUACCAUAGCUUAUGACGAAAAAACUGUUAACACCAAUCACUUAAGCAUUGCAGUAAUUUAGCUUUAUUGCCAUGCUGAAAUUUUAUUCUCUUUCUAAUAAUAUACUUGCAAUAAUCUAGAAUUUUUCUGUCUCAUGUUUUUUAUUAAGUGAGAAGUUUGUGUACAUGGUAGUUUAAGCUGAGCACAUAUCUUUUAUUUUGUACAAAGAUUUAAUGAUUCAUAACGACAUUCACCUGAAUUAUGCAAACAUAUUUUUCACAUGUUAGAAUAAACUUCUUUGUGA